CCCUUAGAUGUUCUGGGCGGCCCGCGCACUACAUUGGCACUAGCAAAGAGAUCCUAGAUUGAAUUCUUUGGGGUAUUCUUCUAAAUGGUGUCGUGACUGGGAUAAAUCCUUGUAAUUAUUGGUUUUGAACGAGGAAUUCCUUGUAAUCGCGGUUUAUCAGCUCGCGUUGAAUGCGUCCCUGCCCUUUGUACACACCGCCCGUCGCUCCUACCGAUGGAUCGUCCAGUGAAGCUCACGGAGUGACUGUUCACGCAACGGUUUACGAAGUGAAAUGGACCUCACGAUUUAGAGGAAGGAGAAGUCGUAACA
rnacentral:rRNA from 1 species